UUCGAUCGAAUAAAAUGUUUAGUUUCAAAAAAUUAUUUUUGGCGAAAUUCCUGCAUAGCUAAGACGAAUUUUUGUUCUUGUCACAAUAUCUAUUCGCUUUGCUCGCUAGGGGCCCUCCAAAUCGUCGUCAGCCUCCUUACGAUUUUACAUACUUCGUUUAUAGGUUUUUAUCGCCGUAACUUUUGUUAGAGUAAGAAAUUUGAACGCAUCAUACUUUUUGCAUUUCCAAUUGUUGAUGAAAGAUAUCGAAUGAAAAAAACCAAAAGUCUCUAGUAGGACGGGAAAUUCCCAAACAUUCUGACGACUAAGCGAGCGAAUGAGUCAGUCAGUGUUUGGUUAUAUAGUAUAUCGAUGAAUGAUCCCGUAUUGCAAGCAAAACGAUAGUAGCGCUGUACGGUGAAUGAAGUUUACAGAACUUUUAUGCUUUGUUAGAGUAUCCCAGCCAUUGUCACAGGUAUUUUCGAACCUGACUUACAUUAUACGUACAUACGAAUAUAAAAUAUACGUGUCGCGUGUACAUAAUGCAUAUGCAGAUUAUGAUCGUGUUUUAUACAAGUACGUAUUUACGGUUGUGAUACGGAGUAAACAUGACGGAAAUUAGAAACGACACUUGUAGUAGCGAUGGAAACGAAACAAUUGCACGGGGGCGGUAGGGUCGUGUAGGAGUUAAAGGGAAGGGAAAGGAUGCGUUCGAAGAAACGUAGAGUGCGCGGAAGAAAAUGUAUAAUCUUGCUUUACAUAACCUAUACUAUUGGGAUUCGAUUUAUUGCGAGUUUGGUGGGUUCGAUGCGUUUUCUAAACAUCCACGGAUCUGUCUGGAAUAAUGACUGAAGACGCAUCGGUUCGAUAGAAAAAAGAGUGAUGUUUACCAACUAAGAAACAGUUAUAGUUGGUUUCAUUGAAAAAGUUGGUGCACUUAUACGACUUUAUGCAACGCUUUUCGAGAAACGAGCGACCGAAAGACCAAAGUACAAUGAAAUAGUUAUGUUGCCUUCGACCGGUUACUUUAAAGCUAUCAAUUGUCCGUUUUACGAAAGUGGAACGUGCGAUAGACCUUACUGUCAUUUCAAGCAUUCGAAACGAGAAGAUGUUGGGGUUACCGCGGAAACAUCCGAGGCGGUGGAAAGCGGUACUGCGGGUCAAGUUCAGGAAUCAAAAUCUUGUACGAUGGUAUCAUCCGGUUCGGACGUUUUGCAAAAAUUAGUAACGGAAGCUGUUAAAAAGGUUCUCGCUAAUCAAGAUGCGACGAACGGUGACAAGUUUUCCUGUCAGAAUGUCGUUUCUCAGGUAGUGGAAGGUCUAACGCCGACAUUAACAUCCGGAUCAUCCGAUACUUUGGAUACCGUGGCGACGAAUACAACGGAGAAGAGGGUAGAUCCGUCAACGUCGCUCACUAAACCGGUUCCAUGCGUUUAUAAUCCCACGCCCAUCGCGGAGUUGAAGAAGCGACAUAUACCGAUAGUGUCCUAUAUGCCUACCAGGGAAAGCAGAGUAGCGGUAAAACGUAAAUGUUCUCCGGAUGGAACGAAACCAUGGCUAGCCAGAGGUUGCGAAGCAGUGGAACCACCUCGAACUGGUGAAAUUAAAUAUAAACCUACCGUGAUAACCAACUCUGAAAUUCGAGAUGCAACGCACAGUUACGUACCUACGUACAAAUCAGAGUCAGCUUCUACGUAUUUCUAUAACGAUGAGAGUUCGAAUGACUAUCUGUUUAAACUUAGGGAACCGUAUUAUCCAAAGUGUAAAAAAAGGAGGGAGGAGUAUGUUCCGAAGAAAGUGAAAGCUCCGUUAAAAACUUCUGAUGGAUCGAACAAAUCUGCAUUGGAUACAUUUGAAGGAAGCUUCGAUACAAUGGGCGAAGCAUCGGUACAUCCCAAAUCUAUUUCCACGAUUCCAUCUAGCGAGUCGUUUCAAUAUCCUCGUUUAGACGUGGAGCCAAAGUUUUCUGACGAUGACGACGUCGACAACGACGACGAGGAUGGCGGUGAUUUUGGCGGCGGCGAAGAUAAAGACGAGGCCGAUGAUGAGAACGAAGGCAAAGAAGAAGAUAAUGACGGUAACGAUCGAAAAGUAAAUAAAAUUGUUUCAGAAAAUGCUGAUCGUAUACCGGUAGAAGGGAAUGAAGUUUAUGGUAACGUUAGGAGACUCGAACGUUUAAAUAAGGGACACGAUGCGGUGGUAGAUACGUGGCCGAAAAUAAACGUUGUAAAGGAACGUGACGGUGAUGACGACAAGAGGAACUGUAACGGGAAAAUAUCGAGAAACAGUAAUGUUUCGAAACAAGAGGAAUCAUUAAGGGAAGAAAGUACGAAAUUGUUAGCGAGCGAAGGAAAAAAAGUAGCGGGAGUAAAUUCGGAUAGAGAACAUAAAAGGAGAGAUAAGUCUAAAGAAAAAAAUGUAAAGAGUCGCGAUAGUUCUCAUAAACGAUACAAAGAGAAACACGAUUCGAACGAUACGUCGCGUUCUGCGUCUCAUAGUAGAAGUAAAAGUAGGAGUCGUGCGAGACACGACAAAGAGAAAGAAUCGAAAGACGCGAAACGUGACAGGGAUAAAAGUAGGCACAAGGAUCAUAAAAAGCAUAAAAGCAAAGAGAAAGAGAGAGAAAGGGGCGAAACAAGACACAGAACUAGUAAGAGGGAUAAACGAGAAGAAGAUUAUCAGGAAUCGGGGAAACGCGACGAACGCGAAUCGAAGAAUCGUUCCGGUUCACCGAGAAGGCAGGAACGCGUCGAGAAGAGGAAUUGCGAGAGCAAUCAUUCGAAAACAAAUCGAAAAUCUGACGAUAGGACGAGUGGAAGAUUCCGCGCGCAUACGGAUCACAAGAAAAGAAAAUGUUCGACGGAUAGGUCAGCGAGCGACGACGAGGACGAGGAGAACAGCAAUAAUCGUAAUAGUAUCGUGGACGUGGACUUAACAUUUAGUACAUCCGAUUCGGAUCACGACGUACAAGAGGAGUGCCUAAAAAUAUUUCAGGAAUAUCAAGUAUCGGAACGGCCGAAAACGACAGAAGCAUCGAAAGAAUCUUCAUUGUCGAUUCACGAAAAGGAACAUAGCGAAGAGGUUGGUAGGAAAAGAGUGGCGCAUCCUUCAGCGGCUGUAUGCGUUACCAGACACACGGGGGUUAACCAGCAAGGAAAAAAAUUGAUAAAUCCACAACAGAAAAUGUACGAAAGGUGGCGUUUGAUGCGAGAAGCUCUAGUAAAAAAGACUACUUCUGCGAGUGGUGGCGUUGGUGAUGGUGGUAGUAGUUGUUGGGUUGGUGGCGGAGGAGAAGAAGGAGAAGGAGGAGGUGGUGGUGGUGAUGAAGGUACCGGUGACAAUUGCGAUAUCGAUAUCAAUGCCAGUACCGGUAUCGAUCACGAUGGCGAUCGCGAUGGCGAAGACAACGGUAGUAGUAGUAAUAGUAACGUUACCAAGGAUGUACCUCGUAAUUCCGUGGAAACAAGAAGAAAUAGAUGUAACAACGAACUCAAGCUGAACGGAGGAAAUGGUCGAGUACGAAUCGCCCAUGUGCCGUAUGGGAAAUCCUUAGCGAUAGAGGGGAAGAAAAUGAAAGAAAAAGCGAUAAAACUGACAGAAACUAAAGUGACGGAUAACCAAAAAACAGCUGCGCAGACGGCCAAGAGUGGCUUACGGAUCGCUCACGUUCCACAGGUGAUUCCACAAUUGAUACGACCCGAACCGUUACAAGUGGCUACGCAAAAGUUUCCUUUAAAUGUUCGCCAGUAUUACGUGAAUAUGAUGCACGACAUAUGCGUUUCGAUUUACACGAAUGCCGAAGAUGCGGCGCAACGCGCGGUUAAAGAAGAACACGCUUGCCACGAAAGAUGCAAAGCUUUAGCCGUUUAUAAAAAUUCUUGUAUGCUUGCCGCGCACAGAUUAAAGAAAGAAAUUGAGCAGAAUCAAUCAGCGACGGCAACGACAUCGGGUAACAGCGUAGUGUCUCACGAAGCGGUACUCGCCGGAAAAACAAAGGGUUCUUGGAGUGUCAUUAAGACGAAGAAAUGCGUGACAGACUUUAAAGGGGUAGCACUGUACGGUAUGUUGAAGAAAUGGAUAAUGACGGAACAACAACUUCGAGAUAACGGAUUUCCUCGUCCACAUCCGGAUGGUCAAAAGGGUCGUGCGAAAGUUUACGUGAUCAAUUCUCGGAAUCAGAGUGUCUUGUCGAAAGUGCCUAACGAAAGAAUUUGUUGCCGAUGCGGUCAGACUUACAUGAUCAAUAAAUACGGAUUUGCAUUGCAACCACAAAAUUGUAUAUAUCACUGGGGUAGAAAAUUCACGAUCAGAGGAGAGGGUAAAUACAGUUGCUGUCAACAGUAUGGUUCAGCGACCGGUUGUUGCGUCGCGAAGACCCACGUUUGGGAUUAUACCGAUUACGAAAAUCUUCGUGGUUACGUGAAAACUUUGUCAAAAGGUACACCGGCCGAAGAACAAGGAGUUUACGCGCUAGACUGUGAAAUGUGUUACACGACGCAAGGAUUAGAAUUGACGAGAAUAACGAUCAUCGAUGAAGAUUGCAACGUAGUGUACGAGGCGUUGGUCAAGCCUCAAAAUCCCAUAAUCGAUUACAAUACAAGGUUUUCUGGAAUAACGGAAGAAAGCAUGAAGGACGUAACAACAACAUUAUUGGACGUCCAAGCAACGAUAUUGACGAUGUUCUCGGACAAAACGAUAUUGGUGGGUCACAGUCUCGAGAGUGAUUUCAAAUCUUUGAGACUGUUACAUGACACAGUGGUCGACACGAGCGUCAUGUUUCCACACAAGAACGGAUAUCCACAAAAGAGAGCAUUGAAAAAUCUUUGUUCCGAAUAUUUGAGAAAACUCAUUCAAAAUGACGUCGGUGGACACGACAGUAAAGAAGACGCAAUGGCAUGUAUGGAGUUGAUUCUUUGGAAAGCGAAAGAAGAAGCGAAGUUGCAAUAAAACGACGCUUAACCCGAAUAACUGUUCGAUCCGACCUAAUCACGUAUUUCGUUCCAAACAUUGUACUUUACUUUACGUAUAAAGUACACGAUAUACGCGUGUCAGCAAGUUAAUUAUAGAAUCGAUUGUCAUUGCUUUGGAUGUUUGGAAUAGUUCGGAUGUCUCUAGCGAACAUUCGUAUCACACUCGUUGAACACAAGGGUCGAGUAAGGCGAAGGGUAUCGGCCGCAGCGCGUCUGUUUCUUUGGUUGUCUUUAAAAUUCUACAAGAUGUAAACUUAUUUUUGGAAGUUAAAACUCUUGCAAUAAAUAAACUGGACUAUUUUGUACA
rnacentral:misc_RNA from 1 species